CACUGGGGCUAGCCAGCGUGCUUGGCUUCCAAAAAGCCCAGCUAGUUGCCCCCCCAGAUGUUUGUGUGUCUUCUUGAAGAGCAUUUGUCAUUUUAAAUUUCUAACAGGUCUUAUUUUUACAGUUCCCGAAGGCCACGGCUUUAAGAGCAUCCUACACACCAAGACGAAACUCCGUGGCUUUAAGACUUGCCUGGGAGCUGGGGCCCACCCCUCUGGCCGUCUUUCAGCAUCCAGAGUAUCUUUUCUGAGGACACAUUCUUACUAGACUGACAGUCCUUGAGUCAAGCAUGCAGUGAGGGUGUUAAGGUAAGUCUCACUCUACUAGAGGAGCUGUCUGCCUGGACACUCCUUGCUUCCUCCCUGUUUGUCCUAUUGAGUUCACACAAUUCCAAUCCAGGCCACCUACUACGCACCCCAGAUAAGCAUCUCCUGGCUCCCAGUGGAGGUGCCUGCACCCACCCAGUAAGACCACCGCUUUGGCUCCUGGGCACCAGCAUUUCUUUGUGACUGGGCGGUGGCGGCGGUUUAAAACAAAAGGAUCCAGAAGAACAACGUUCUGUUUUCUCACCGUGCUUCACUCCAACCCCCCCCCCCGAACCCCCCACGUUGUGUUUUCCACUCGGUUGCUUAAUUCCUUUCUGGAGUUUUCUUCCUGGAUAGAGAUGAAGCUCUAGCUCAGAAUCCUGAGGUGC
rnacentral:lncRNA from 1 species